UACAUGGUCGGUCCCUUGAGAACAGGCCGCAGUGGUUUCACGCACGUACUGGUCGCAGUCGACAAGUUCACGAAGUGGAUUGAGGCUAAACCAAUCAAGAAUCUUGACGCCGGUACUGCAGUUACCUUCAUCAGGGAGCUGACGUUCAGACAUGGGGUCCCGCACAGCAUCAUUACGGAUAAUGGGUCAAACUUUGACUCGGAAGAAUUCAAGGGUUUCUGCAACGCUCAAGGCACACGAGUCGACUACGCUUCGGUCGCUCAUCCACAGUCGAAUGGACAAGCGGAGCGAGCCAAUGGCUUAAUCCUCAAGGGUUUAAAACCCCGACUAAUGCGUGAUCUCAAGCACGCGGCUGGAGCAUGGGUCGACGAACUCCCUUCGGUGCUUUGG
rnacentral:rRNA from 1 species